rnacentral:rRNA from 1 species
UACGUAGGGGGCGAGCGUUGCCCGGAUUUACUGGGCGUAAAGCGCGUGUAGGCGGUCUGUUAAGUCGGAUGUGAAAUCUCCGGGCUCAACCCGGAAACUGCAUCCGAUACUGGCAGACUUGAGGAUGGUAGAGGUCGGUGGAAUACCAGGUGUACCGGUGAAAUGGGCAGAUAUCUGGUGGAACACCAGUGGCGAAGGCGGCUCACUGGCCCGAUACUGACGCUGAGGCACGAAAGCGUGGGGAGCAAACAGG